GAUGAACGCUGGCGGCGUGCCUAAUACAUGCAAGUCGAGCGAACGGACGAGAAGCUUGCUUCUCUGAUGUUAGCGGCGGACGGGUGGGUAACACGUGGAUAACCUACCUAUAAGACUGGGAUAACUUCGGGAAACCGGAGCUAAUACCGGAUAAUAUUUUGAACCGCAUGGUUCAAAAGUGAAAGACGGUCUUGCUGUCACUUAUAGAUGGAUCCGCGCUGCAUUAGCUAGUUGGUAAGGUAACGGCUUACCAAGGCAACGAUGCAUAGCCGACCUGAGAGGGUGAUCGGCCACACUGGAACUGAGACACGGUCCAGACUCCUACGGGAGGCAGCAGUAGGGAAUCUUCCGCAAUGGGCGAAAGCCUGACGGAGCAACGCCGCGUGAGUGAUGAAGGUCUUCGGAUCGUAAAACUCUGUUAUUAGGGAAGAACAUAUGUGUAAGUAACUGUGCACAUCUUGACGGUACCUAAUCAGAAAGCCACGGCUAACUACGUGCCAGCAGCCGCGGUAAUACGUAGGUGGCAAGCGUUAUCCGGAAUUAUUGGGCGUAAAGCGCGCGUAGGCGGUUUUUUAAGUCUGAUGUGAAAGCCCACGGCUCAACCGUGGAGGGUCAUUGGAAACUGGAAAACUUGAGUGCAGAAGAGGAAAGUGGAAUUCCAUGUGUAGCGGUGAAAUGCGCAGAGAUAUGGAGGAACACCAGUGGCGAAGGGCGACUUUCUGGUCUGUAACUGACGCUGAUGUGCGAAAGCGUGGGGAUCAAACAGGAUUAGAUACCCUGGUAGUCCACGCCGUAAACGAUGAGUGCUAAGUGUUAGGGGGUUUCCGCCCCUUAGUGCUGCAGCUAACGCAUUAAGCACUCCGCCUGGGGAGUACGACCGCAAGGUUGAAACUCAAAGGAAUUGACGGGGACCCGCACAAGCGGUGGAGCAUGUGGUUUAAUUCGAAGCAACGCGAAGAACCUUACCAAAUCUUGACAUCCUUUGACAACUCUAGAGAUAGAGCCUUCCCCUUCGGGGGACAAAGUGACAGGUGGUGCAUGGUUGUCGUCAGCUCGUGUCGUGAGAUGUUGGGUUAAGUCCCGCAACGAGCGCAACCCUUAAGCUUAGUUGCCAUCAUUAAGUUGGGCACUCUAAGUUGACUGCCGGUGACAAACCGGAGGAAGGUGGGGAUGACGUCAAAUCAUCAUGCCCCUUAUGAUUUGGGCUACACACGUGCUACAAUGGACAAUACAAAGGGCAGCGAAACCGCGAGGUCAGGCAAAUCCCAUAAAGUUGUUCUCAGUUCGGAUUGUAGUCUGCAACUCGACUACAUGAAGCUGGAAUCGCUAGUAAUCGUAGAUCAGCAUGCUACGGUGAAUACGUUCCCGGGUCU
rnacentral:rRNA from 1 species